rnacentral:rRNA from 1 species
AGAGUUUGAUUCUGGCUCAGAACGAACGCUGGCGGCGUGGAUAAGACAUGCAAGUCGAGCGAGAGCUUGCGGGUAGCAAUAUCUUCAAGUUCUAGCGGCGAAAGGGUGCGUAACACGUGGGUAAUCUACCGUGAAGUUCGGAAUAAUUUGCCGAAAGGGAAGCUAAUGCCGGAUGUGAUCGCGACGGGACAUCCCGUCGAGAUUAAAGCUGGGGAUCCUUCGGGACCUGGCGUUUCACGAUGAACCCGCGGCCUAUCAGCUUGUUGGUGAGGUAAUGGCUCACCAAGGCGACGACGGGUAGCUGGUCUGAGAGGACGAUCAGCCACACUGGAACUGAGACACGGUCCAGACACCUACGGGCGGCAGCAGUCGAGAAUCUUUCACAAUGGGCGAAAGCCUGAUGGAGCGACGCCGCGUGGGGGAAGAAUGGCUUCGGCCCGUAAACCCCUGUCAUUCGCGAGCAAUGCUUACGUCUUAAUAGGAUGUAAGUUGAUAGUAGCGUAAGAGGAAGGGACGGCUAACUCUGAGCCAGCAGCCGCGGUAAUACAGAGGUCCCAAGCGUUGUUCGGAUUCACUGGGCGUAAAGCGUGCGUAGGUGGCCAGAUAAGUUCGGUGUGAAAGCUCCGGGCCCAACCCGGAAAGGUCAUCGAAAACUAUUUGGCUGGAGGAUUGGAUGGGAGACUGGAAUUCUCGGUGUAGCAGUGAAAUGCGUAGAUAUCGAGAGGAACAUCAGUGGCAAAGGCGAGUCUCUGGACAAUUCCUGACACUGAGGCACGAAAGCUAGGGGAGCAAACAGGAUUAGAUACCCUGGUAGUCCUAGCCGUAAACGGUGCACACUUGCUGUGGGCGGAAUCGACCCCGUCCGUGGCGUAGCUAACGCGUUAAGUGUGCCGCCUGGGGAGUACGGUCGCAAGACUAAAACUCAAAGAAAUUGACGGGGGCCUGCACAAGCGGUGGAGUAUGUGGCUUAAUUCGAUCAACGCGAAGAACCUUACCUGGCCUUGACAUGCAAGUGGUAAAAGCCUGAAAGGGUGAUGACCCCGCAAGGAGGGCUUGCACAGGUGCUGCAUGGCUGUCGUCAGCUCGUGUCGUGAGAUGUUGGGUUAAGUCCCGCAACGAGCGCAACCCCUGUGUCCUGUUGCCACUUCCGCUAGCGCGGAAAGCACUCUGGACAGACUGCCUCGCUUAAACGAGGAGGAAGGUGGGGAUGACGUCAAGUCAGUAUGGCCCUUACGGCCAGGGCUGCACACGUACUACAAUGCCUAGUACAGAGGGCCGCGAGACCGCAAGGUGGAGCAAAUCCCUUAAAACUAGGCCCAGUUCAGAUUGUCGUCUGCAAUUCGACGGCAUGAAGCCGGAAUCGCUAGUAAUGGCGUAUCAGCUACGACGCCGUGAAUACGUUCCCAGGCCUUGUACACACCGCCCGUCACAUCAUGAAAGCCGGUUGUACCCGAAGUCGCCGUGCCAACCCUCAGGAGGCAGGUGCCGAAGGUAUGACUGGUGAUUGGGAUGAAGUCGAAACAAGGUA